UGCUGACCUGCCUUCACCUCCCUCUGCUCAGGGAUCCCAGGACCCAGGGGAGACGCUGCCCCGGAAGCUGAAGCA
ensembl:snoRNA